rnacentral:rRNA from 1 species
CAGCAGCCGCGGUAAUACGAAGGGUGCAAGCGUUACUCGGAAUUACUGGGCGUAAAGCGUGCGUAGGUGGUUGUUUAAGUCUGCUGUGAAAGCCCUGGGCUCAACCUGGGAAUUGCAGUGGAUACUGGGCAACUAGAGUAAGGUAGAGGAUAGUGGAAUUUCCGGUGUAGCAGUGAAAUGCGUAGAGAUCGGAAGGAACAUCUGUGGCGAAGGCGACUAUCUGGGCCAUUACUGACACUGAGGCACGAAAGCGUGGGGAGCAAACAGGAUUAGAUACCCCGGUAGUCCCUGUCUCUUAUAA